rnacentral:rRNA from 2 species
UGUUUAGCGACAAUAGCGCUGUGGUCCCACCUGAUCCCUUUCCGAACUCAGAAGUGAAACGCAGUUGCGCCGAUGGUAGUGUGGGAGUUCCCAUGUGAGAGUAGGACAUUGCUAAACUU